rnacentral:misc_RNA from 1 species
CACUGGCAAGCCAUUUUCAGCUAAUCAGACCUAGUUUCAUUGGUUCAUUGUUUUCCAGUUCAACUUGUUUAUAAAUUUUUGAGGCUCUUUUUGUUUCAAUAAUUAAGAAAUGAUGUGUUUAGUUCUAUUAUUGUUGGUACGAAAUCCUGAAAAUAGUAGGAUCUAGAAAGUGCAGGGACAAGAAAUUAGGACAGUGGCUGGUGCGGUUGUCUUGACAUACAACUCACAGCAAACAUCAACAUAGAGGAAUAUUUUGUGAUUUUCCCUAUUCUUUUGUAACAAUUAUUCAUACACAGUACUAAAAUUCUUCCAUAUCAUAUUUGUGUUGUGGGGGAAGAGAGGUGGGGGUAUGCAUGUGUAUACAGCUUCAUCUGUGCAAACAUAAAGCUGUUCUUAUUUUCUUGCUACUAGUUGCACCUAAUUUAAUUAUA